GAUGAAGAACGUAGCGAAAUGCGAUAAGUAGUGUGAAUUGCAGAAUUCAGUGAAUCAUCGAAUCUUUGAACGCACAUUGCGCCCCUUGGUAUUCCAUGGGGCAUGCCUGUUCGAGCGUCAUCUACACCCCCAAGCUCUGCUUGGUGUUGGGCGUCUGUCCCGCCCCCGCGCGUGGACUCGCCCCAAAUCCAUUGGCAGCGUUCCUUGCCCCCUCUCGCGCAGCACAUUGCGCUUCUCGAGGGCGGCUCCGGGACGCGAUCCAGCAAGAUGACCACCGUCUUUGACCUCGGAUCAGGUAGGGAUACCCGCUGAACUUAAGCAUAUCAAUAAGCGGAGGA
rnacentral:misc_RNA from 1 species